rnacentral:lncRNA from 1 species
AAGGGAAAUCAGCGAGGGUCUAGAAGAAAAAAAGAAGAAAGGGUUUCGGAGGGGUUGGUAGAGAGAAACCGAGAGAGGAGGAAGAGAGUUUGAGGGGAGCGGAGGAAACAAAGGAAAAAAGGAGAAAACAAGCAAGAGGGUUGGAAGGGAAGGUUGCGAGGAAGAGCAAGAGAGAGUCUGGGGCUGAGGGAGAGAAAGAAAGCAAAAGAAAAGAGAGAGGCUUCACGGAGAAGAAAAUAGCUACAGGCAGGUUGAAUCGAAGCUCAAAAUAACGAACGCGUCACUACUGGAAAUUGCUGCAACAAAGAAAAGAGGGUUUUCUGACUUCCUUCCAUAGAUCUGCACAGCUUCCAUCGAUUUCCCAGGGUUUUGUCUCUGUAAGUAUAUCAUUUAAGCCAUAUUCUGAACCUUUUGAGGCUUACCAGACGUGAAUCUUUGCUAUGGAUAAGCUCUUGCUGGUACCACUGCUUCUACCUCUUGUUUGGUGGAUGAUUUUUGAUUUUGGUAGGGGUCCUUAGGAUGAAUUUUGUAAGAAAACGGGUUUGGGGUUUUCUAUAGAUUUUUUAUCUAAUGAGUCCGUGGGGUUUUGCUUGAGUCAUGGCUGUUUUGUGAUUGAAAACGACAAACCCAGAAAAUUGCAGAAAUUUCUUGCUGAAGAUUUGCAUGCUUGGAUGAUCGAAUAUGGCCAAAUAAUAUAAAGUUAAGAUGGAACCAUGUUUCAUGGUUAUUGUUAAAGCUCUUGUCCGUACAUGCUGUAUAGUAUAAAGUUAAGAUGGAACAGUUUUGUGCUUCUUGUCCAACGUGUUGUCGAUGCGGCCCUAAAGAUUGUUUCUUGAUGCGGCUUCAUGUUUAGGCUUAAUGCUUCGGUCUUCAUGAUCUAUUGUUUUUAUUGCAUAUGAAUCUAUGGAUCCCACCAUGAUGGACAUGUCUUCAUGAAGCUUUCAUACUCACAAUUGUUUACAUUAGACAUGUUACGGUUAUCAUGUUGUUGCACAAGUUAUCAUAGGACCCACAUGUUUUAUAUGUUAAAGGUACCAUUCAUGUUUACUUGGGGCCUGUGCAUAGUCUUCGUGACUUGUUCUUGUUUAAGAGCCAAUAUGUAUAUAUUUAUGUUAAAGAAAUUAGGGUUUACUUAAUUUAAGUGAAUCAUAAUAAAGUUAAAUAGGACAUUUAAGCCCUAUAAAAUCCAUAUGUGUGGCCCAUUAAAUAUGUAGUUUUUAUAAAGUACUUAUGGAUUUCAAGAAAAUUUUUGGGCUUGAAUGUUAAUUUUGGGUCAAAUUAUGGAUAUGGACCUUUGGUCCAAUAGGUCAUGAUUUAAUUUGAUUGAUUUGACCAUGUUUGACCAUGUUUAGACCAAAGUUGACCAAAGUUGACUUUGAUCAAAAUUUUUAUUUAAUUUGGAUAAUUUUAAAUUCGAAUAUCGGUAUUAAUAUAUAUAUUUUGGAAUAAAUUAAUUGAAAUAAUAUGUCACCAAAGUGACCUCUAUUAUGGAAAUUAAUUUAUUUUAAAAUAUAACUAGUUGGGUACUUGUAAUUUUAUGAAUAUUGAUCGACCCAAAGGAAGGUCAAUAUUUAAUGAAAUUACAUGUGCACUUGUGGUAAUAAAUACGUGAUAAUUAUUUGGAUUUUACAUGUGAUUUAUAAAUUGGCCCAAAGAAAAACUUAUUUUUGACAUGUUAUUAUUAUCAGUAUUUAUUACUACACCAAAAUAUCACUUAGAAGCUAAUAUUUUUGUCCAAAGAUAAAAUAUUAAUGGAAUAUCGGUAUCUUGAGAUGAGACUACCAUUAUUUGAAUUUAUUAUUGUAUUGAUUUAUGUGAGCUUGUUUUAAUUAUAUUAUGUUUUCUGUUCAGUUGCGAAUGAUCUUACAAAUAUCACUUCCAAUAUCAAUAAUAUUCCUAUGUUGAAUAGCACAAACUUCAAGCUCUGGAAAGAAAAUCUCUUGAUAGUACUUGGAAUAAUGGAUCUCAAUCUUGCGUUAAGGGAUGAUUCUCCCCCACCUCUUACAGAUCAGAGUACCUCUGAUGAAAAGAGAAAUAAUGAGAGGUGGGAGAGAUCAAAUCGCUUGUGUUUGAUGAUCAUUAAAAAGGCCGUUCCAAAAGCAUUCAGGGGAACAAUGUCAGAAACGACUGUAACCGCUAAAGAAUUCCUUCAGAACAUUGAAAAAAGGUUUGUCAAAAACGAAAAGGCUGAAGUUAAUAUACUCUUGACACGCUUAGUUUCAAUGAAAUAUAGUAGUAAAGGCAAUAUCAGAGAGUAUAUCAUGGAGAUGUCUCAUCUUGCUUCGAAAUUAAAUGCACUUAAGUUGAAACUCUCUGAAGAGUUACUAGUGCAUUUGAUUUUAAUAUCUCUUCCUACACAGUUUAGCCAGUUUAAGGUGAGUUACAACUGUCAAAAGGAGACUUGGUCUCUAAAUGAACUCAUCUCACACUGUGUAGAGGAAGAGAAAAUAUUGAAGCAAGAGGAGACAGAAAGUGCCCAUCUGGUGUCAACCACUAAUAAUAAUAAAAGUAAGGGAUUUAAGAGAAAGAAAGAAAAAGGAGCUGCAGGUACAGCGUCACAAAAGAAAUCAAAUGAUCAGGGAAAGAAUAGUUGUUUCUUCUGUGGAGUUGAAGGGCAUCAAAAGAAGCAUUGCACAAACUAUCACGCUUGACGUGCUAAGAAAUGUAUGCUUCUUAAUUUGGUUUGUUUUGAAUUUAAUUUAACUUCGGUACCUAGACACAUAUGGUGGUUAGAUUCUGGUGCAACAACUCACAUCAGUGUGUCUAUACAGAGUUGCCUGAAUUGCCGAAAGCCUAAUGAUAAUGAAAGAUAUAUCUACGUGGGCGAUGACAAAACAGUUCAAGUUGAGACAAUUAGAGUUUUUAGAUUAAUGUUAAAAAUCAGAUUUUAUUUGGAUCUCUAUGAGACAUUUGUUGUACCGUCUUUUAGACGGAAUUUAAUUUCUAUUUCUGCUUUGGAUAAAUUUGGUUAUUUUUGUUUAUUUGAAAAUGGAAAAUUUGAAUUGUUUCAUGAUUCAAAAUUGGUUGGUUCUGGUUCUUUAAUGCACUACGAUAAUCUAUAUUUAAUUGAUACAAUUGCCUCAUUUAAUGAAUCUCUGCAUUUGAGUACUAGAGGAAUAAAGAGAAAAUUAACCAAUGAGAAUUCAGCUGCAUUAUGGCACAAGAUAUUGGGACAUAUCUCCAAACAGAGAAUGGAAAGGCUUGUGUCAAAUGAAAUUCUCGACCCCUUGAAUUUUACAGAUUUUAAUGAUUGUAUUAAUUGUAUAAAGGGGAAACAAACUAAUAAAAGGAGAUUUGAAACCAAUAGAUCCUCAGACGUCUUAGAACUUAUACAUACAGAUAUUUGUGGACCAUUUUCUACAUCUGCUUGGAAUGGUCAACAAUAUUUUAUAACGUUCAUAGACGAUUUUUCAAGAUAUGACUACAUAUAUCUCAUUUCAGAAAAGUCACAGUCAUUGGACGUGUUCAAAAAUUUUAAGGCUGAAGUUGAGAAUCAACUCAAUAAAAGAAUUAAAAGCGUCAGAUCUGACCGUGGUGGUGAGUACUAUGGUAGAUGUGACGGUUCAGGUGAACAACGUCCAGGACCAUUUGCUAAAUACCUAGAGGAGUGCGGUAUCGUCCCACAGUAUACUAUACCGGGUUCACCCACUAUGAAUGGUGUAGUUGAAAGAUGAAAUAAAACACUUAAAGACAUGGUAAGGAGUAUGAUAUAUCAUUCUACCUUACCAGAAUCACUCUGGGGUGAAGCACUUAAGACUGCAGCAUAUAUUCUUAAUAGAGUUCCAACUAAAGCAACUAUCAAAACCCCUUAGGAGUUUUGGAUAGAAAAAAAAUCCAGUUUAAAGCAUAUGCAUGUUUGGGGGUGUCCAGUUGAGGCAAGGUCUUAUAGGCCAAAUAAAAAGAAACUGAAUUCAAAAACAGUUAGUUGCUAUUUUAUUGGAUAUUCUGAAAGAUCCAGAAAUUACAAGUUUUAUGAUCCCACAACUAAAUCAAAUUUUGAGACAGGAAAUGCCCGAUUCUUUGAGGAUGUCGAGUUUGGGGGAGAAAAUACAGUAAGGGACAUUGUCUUUAAAGAGAACUAUAUUAAUAUUCCCACAGGUGUCAUUGAUCUUGUUCAGGAUUCUAUUCCUGAACAAGAUCAUGACAUGACAAAUCAAGACAAUGUCGAAGAACAAAUUGUUAUAGAAAUUCAAACUCUCUCUCUCCAAGAAUCAGUGCCAUUAAGAAGAUCCAUCAGAGAAAUGAGAAGUGCAGUGUCAGAUGAUUACAUUGUAUUUCUCCAAGAACAUGAGGAUGACAUUGGAUUGAUGGAAGAUGAUCCAAUCAACUUCCGUCAAACAAUGGAAAGUUCAAAUUCUCAAAAGUGGAUCGAUGCCAUGAAUAAGGAGAUUAAAUCCAUGAAAGACAAUGAUGUUUGGGAUCUUGUCCCAUUGCCAGAAGGUGCGAAACUCAUUGGUUGUAAAUGAAUAUUUAAAAUCAAGAGGAAUUCGAAAGGUAAUGUGGAAAGAUAUAAAGCUCGUCUUGUCGUUAAGGGAUUUACACAAAAAGAAGGUAUCGACUAUAAAGAAACCUUCUUUUCAGUCUCUUCAAAUGACUCUUUUAGAAUCAUCAUGGCACUAGUGGCGCAUUUCGAUCUUGAAUUACAUCAGAUGGAUUUAAAGACAGCGUUUCUCAAUGGUAACAUUGAUGAGACGAUUUAUAUGGUGCAACUAGAAAACUUUGUAUCAGGAGAUCCAAAGAAUAUGGUUUGCAAACUUAAAAAAUUCAUCUAUGGGUUCAAACAAGCGUCUCGACAGUGGUAUUUCAAAUUUCAUCAAGUGAUCAUCUCAUUUGGUUUUGAGAUGAAUUUAGUAGAUGAUUGCAUAUACCAUAAGUUCUGUGAGAGCAAGUAUAUUUUUCUGGUAUUAUAUGUUGAUGACAUUUUGCUUGCCAGCAACGAUAUUGGUCUAUUGCAUGAAACCAAGAAAUUUCUGACUAAGAAUUUUGAGAUGAAAGAUCUUGGUGAUGCAUCUUUUGUGCUAGGUAUACAAAUACACCGAAAUCGAUUUCAAGGUAUUUUAGGACUAUCACAAAAAGGUUAUAUCGAAAAGGUUCUCAAAAGGUAUGGCAUGCAAAAUUGUAAAUCAGGUGACACUCUCGUAGCUAAAGGAAACAAAUUUAGUCUUGAGCAGUGUCCUAAGAAUGCUUUUGAGGAAAAAGAGAUGCAAAAGAUUCCUUAUGCGUCAGCAGUAGGGAGUCUAAUGUAUGUUCAAGUAUGUACGCGUCCGGAUAUUGUGUACAUUACUGGAAUGUUGGGUAGAUAUUUAAGUAAUCCAGGAUUAGAUCAUUGGAAAGCAACCAAACGGGUCUUACGGUAUUUACAGAAAACAAAAGAUUACAUGCUCACGUAUCGGAAGUCAAAUGAGUUAGAGAUCGUUGGGUAUACUGAUUCCGAUUAUACUGGAUACCAAGAUACUAUGAAGUCAACGUCAGGCUAUGUGUACUUGUUGGCUAAAGGUACUAUAUCCUGGAAGAGUGCUAAACAGUCCCUCAUAACAUCUUCCACUAUGGCUGCAGAGUUUAUAGCUUGUUAUGAGACAUCCAACCAAGGAAUUUGGCUACGAAAUUUUGUCACAGGAUUAUGUGUAGUGGAUAGUAUUGAAAAACCACUCAAAUUAUUUUGUGACAACAAGUCAGCAGUUCUAUAUUCCAAUAAUAACAGAAGCUCGACGAAAUCUAAACAUAUAGAUAUCAAGUUCCCGUCUGUUAAAGAAAGAGUACAGAGUGGACAGUUAUUGAUUGAGCAUAUCAGGACAAACUCCAUGGUUGUGCAUCCGCUUACUAAGGGAUUGCCACCCAAAAUGUUUCAUGAGCAUACUGCUAGUAUGGGUGUCAUAUUGAUAAAUAAUGUACAGUUUUUAGUGGGAGUUUGAUAUUUUAAAUGCUCUUGUGAUACGUUUCGGUUAUUAAUGAUUUAAGGAUAUUUUAUGCAUAAAUAAAGUUUGAAUUUAUUUACACUCUGAUUUUGGUAUGGUUUGAUCUCAUAAAAUUUUAAGGUGGACCAGUUGCAAAUAGGCAUGUUUUGAUCACAUUACAUGAAAUUUUCAUGCUACACAUCCACAUCAUGAUUCAUGUCAUUCAAUUACAUUGAUAUAUGUGACCAUUGAUGGGUCGAGUUACGAAAUUGUGACAAAGGCCGCUUUGAUCCUAUAUUGGUGUGAUUGAUAGAUCGAAUUGGCUACAGAUACAUUUUAGUAAUGACAGUAAAGUUGAGCUCAUAUGGUUAAUUGCGAAACAUAAUUAUAAGGUUACACAUAUAGUCCAAGUGGGAGAUUGUUGGAUCCUUAAUCCAACAUUAGACUUAUAUGUGAAUAAUUAUGGGUUGCAAACUGUCAAAUAAAGUUAAGUCCAAUUAAAGUGAUCAAAUAUGGUUUGGACUUAAUAUAUCUAAUAGGAUGUGGGCUUUUAAUGUGUAGAAAUUUAAGGGCUCCUAUUUCUAUGAUGGGCUGAAAUAGGGCUCCAAAAGGUAACAGGAGUAUUACCUAUAAAUAGGGUUAUGGUCCCCAAAUCACACGUAUCAUUUUUUAUCGUAUUUUCUAGUACCACAAUAUACAGCCCUUUCCUGAUAUCCCAUCGUCAGGAAAGAUACCAGAGAGAAACUAAAGGACUCUCUCAAGAAUUGGCAAAUACAUGUUGACCUGGAAGGCCACUCCAAAAUCUUUAAGGAUUCAAGUGCCAGUUUGUUAACAUGACUUCAGGUACGCUUCCGCAUUUAUAUUACAGUUAUAUUCAAAUAUCUUAUAUUGGGAUUCUAGAAAUCUUACACGAAUUUCUAUGUCUUUGUUGCUUAAGAUCCAAGUUUGAUAUUUGAUUGAGGCUCUAGUUGUGUUUAGCAAAGAGAACUUGCAUCAUAAAUCCACGGAGUUGCAGAAAACGAAGAAACCAGAGAAGAAGAUGAAAUCUUGCGAGCCAUUUGCAUGAAAGUUCCAAAACAUUACAUUUUGGCCCCAGAAUUUUGGUUGAAUACUACUAUAGCCCAGAAAAUUGGAAAAAUUAAUCAAUCUUGUCCCUUCAAAACAUUAUUUUUCCAUGGCAUAUUUUUAUGUGAUUUUUAGAUAGAUUAUUGGUGAAUUUUAGGAUGAAUUUUGAAGUUUAACAAUUUUUGAUAGAUUUAUAGCUUUUGAUUUGGAUUUUUGUAAAAAUGGUUUAGACUUGGGUAAUAUUUUUUGUUUGGGGUUUGGUGGGAGGGUUUAGAUUUAUUAUUGUGAAUUUUAGCAUUUGAUUUUGGCAGGCUUCAUCUUAAGCCAUUAAUUUUAUUUUAUUUUAUUUUUACUUGAGACCCUUAAUAUUUGUAAUAAUAAUGAUUUAACCCCUCAAACUUUUAUAAUUGUUUCGAUUAGAAACCUGUUUGUUUUAAUUUCUUGAAUAUGGGUUGUUUAUUUUCAUUUAAAUGCUUUAACUGUUCAAUUUCAUGUUUAUUCCCAUCUUUUAUGAUUAUUUGUUAAUUAAAGUGGUACCUUAAUCAUUUUCUUUGUAUUGGAGGGUAAAAAGAGAGAAAUUUCACUUUAUUAGGUCACCAAUUCAAGGGAUGUAUACUGUACUCUUUAUUUUGAUCUUACUUGAUCCUAUGUGCCCCUAUGUGAUUUUAUGUGCAUAAUUGCAUGCCUUUGUAAAUGUUUUAUUUCAUUUAUUUAUUUAGUCACUUUAAUUGUUUUGAUUUAGUAUAUUUAUUUUAAUUUAAUGUUUGAUUAUUUAAGGGGCAUUUAAAUACCAAAUUGUAAUAGUUAGGGGGUUCAAGACAUGUAUUUAGAUAUAAUAUGUAAUAGUUAGAUAUUUAUUUUAUUCCUUCCCCCUUUAGAUUGUAGUUAGGGCCUCAAAUAUAAUAGUUAGGUCUUUAUUUGAUUUGUGUGUUUUGCAUGCUUAUGUGUUUACGUGUUACUCGCUUUUUUAGGGUCUUGCAUCUAGAUAUCAUGCUUAUAUGCUAUGUGCGCUAUGUGACUUAUAUGUUUACUUGCUUUUUAUUAGCUUUAUAUGAUUUGUGUAGUUCUAAUAAAUGUAUGACGUCACCACACUAGUCCAACGCUAGUUGUGGCCCUUUGUUCCAAUUUUCUACUAUUCCAACGCUAGUGAGAACUUAUAGACAUGAGUUAGUCCAACGCUAAACUCUUAGGGACCAUCCGCGCGCUAGAUCAUGUUUGUGUGACAAUCACUACAUUUGCAUGCAUAUUUUCUACCUUUUAGGGUUUUUAUCAUUUUGCAUGACAUUUCCCUUAUAUGUACAUCCCUUAUCUCAUACUCCCCCUAUAUAUCCCUUAUCCCAUAUCUCCCCUAUAUAUAUCCCUUAUUACCAUGUACGACACAUAACAUGUAGGUUUGCAUUCCAUUUAAGAAAAUUAGAACUAGUUUAGAUCAUUUGCUUGAUUAGAUAGGAGAAAUACCCCUCGAAUACGGGAUAUAGGCGAGUAUGGCUUUCUAGCCUUAGCACGCUCGUAUUCCCUCUAUAAAAGGGAAAAUUGAGUCAGGAACGUUAGCUCCCAUACCCAUUAUGAUGCAUUCCCUUAGGUCAUGUAUAUUUGUAUAUUAUUAUUAUUUACUUUCUUCGAGUCUCAUUUUGUUGCAUAUUCGUGACCUCUUCGAAAAAUCACUUUUGGGCGUCGCAAUUAAUGCGAUUUGCACCAAUUAAAAUUCAAAGAGACAUAUUGACCCUUCCGAUAUCCAUUAGGUUUAGGUUUACAUUCAUAUAGUAACAUCCAAAUGUGAUAAAUUUUUGGAUUAAAAUUAAGAAAAUUUUUGACUAAAUCACGCAACUAGUCUUGGUUAGGUUGAAAGGGUGCCUUGGAUUUUAUUUUUGCCUUCCCUUUCUUCAACCGUGACUCCCGACCUGUUUUCUCUACUUUUCAUUUAAAAUUCAUUUUUAGGUGAUUUGGUACAUCUUAACUCAAUACCAAGUGGCGACUUCUAUUUUUCAUUAAAAACCCUUUUUAAACUAUUAUUUUUGGGUCAAAAUCGUCGCACUUUUUAAGUCCCAUUUAGGCCCAUUUUCUUUAUUUAUUUUCUAAAAAUCAAAAACUCAUUUUCACUCAAAAUUAAUCGAAAACUCAUUUUAUAAACCCGUUAUUUUAUUUUUCUUUCAAUGGGGCGCGACAGCUUAGCGACUCCACUAGGGACUUUAGAGAGUCCGAGCAUUUGAUUUAGUCAAUUCUUUUCUUUUUCUAACCUUUUUAUAUAUCACAUUUAGAGGUUUUAGGUUGCAUUUUUUUCCUUUUUAGGGUUUUUUGCAUUUAACACGCGCAAUCAUAUCGAUAUUCGUGCAUGUGAUGAAUAAUGUGCUUAUUGUCUUUCAUUCAUUUAUAUAUCGCGCUUGCAUCUUGGGGGAGGGGGGAUAGCCACCCUAGAACCUUCACCCGCAUUUGAUGGUAUUUAAUCUCUCCCCUCAAAAGGAAGCACUUCAUACGUGCAUAUGUUUUACUUUAUACCCCUCAUUUCUUUUUUAACUUUUAGUGGUUGUCAUACCACUCUUCCCUAUUUAGUAUUAGGAUUGAUCCACUUGGACAUGUGGCCGUGGCAUGACGUGCGCGUAGCAAUGUCCGAGGGAUCACUUAAACCGCUGACUCUAAGGCCUUGGGAUUGAUGACCCUUCGCCUUUGGUCUGAAGGUUUGGGGACCUGAACCUUAUCGAGUCUAGAUGCAUUAGUGAACCCAACCUCAUGCAUCCAUGAUAGAAAUUGCCUAAGUUAGAGUCAACCUUACCCGAAUAGGAACACUAGGCACGAGGGGAGGGAUUACACCCUUUUUUCUUUAAAUUCCCUUCUAUUUUUCAUAUUACUUUUGUUUGCUCCAAUGUGUUAUGUGUUAUGUGUCAUAUAUCAAUCGAACUAACCUUUCUUUGUCCUAUUGCAUUCACAAACGCUAGAAAAUAAGAGUUCUGACAUGAUACUCUUUAGAACCUACCCUUUUAGAUAGGUUAUUGCAUGUUUAAAUUUCGAUGUAUUGCAUUCGUAGGUUAAUAAUUGUACAUUAUUUUAGGUCCACCCUGGCAUACGAAGGGUCCCUUAGGUCAUGUUUUCAUUUCAAAUUGCGUAUUUAAUUGCUUUGAUAAAUUGGCAUCAUACAUAAACUUUAGAGGGAAUGCCGCAUAGGGAAUCCCACGAUAGGAAUAAACAAUCCUGUGUCUCGGAUAUGUAAUCCAAUGAGACUUGCACGUUUAUAACUUUUGUAGCAUCCAAAGGGGUAGUGCACAAGGUAAGGUAGGAUCUGACAUUGCCCUCGAAGAUGAUAGAGCAACUUUUGCACAUUAGAAUAUGGGCAUCUAACAAUCAUCUUUUGGCCAUUUUAUCAGAAUUGGUAAAAAUCCCUUACAUAAAGGACAUUAAAUUGAAGAAAUUCACAAAUAAUCCCUCAUUGUUGAGACGAUAAAUAUGUUGAGACUAAAUCUUGAUUUUAGAAGGCUCAUAGACUAAUGCAUUGUAGCAAAAUUUGUACAAUUUGAAAACCACAAAUGGGUUGACAAUUUAGUCAAAUUUCAAAUAAUCCAUUUUACUAGUUUACUCACUUUUAGGGUAAUCUAGUCAAUUUUCAAGUAAACCAUCAAAUUCCAUCCAUCCCAUUUUUACGAGUUUAUUCGCAUCUAGGAUGAUUGAGUUGAUUUUUUUUGGAUAAACCAUUCGCUUCAUACAAAUUUAUUUGAUCAAUUCAUUUUUAGGAUAAUUUAGUCAAUUUUUGAAUAGAUCAUCACUCCAUCUGAUCUAUUUGAUUAUUUUAUUUCAUUCAAUUCAUUUGACCAGUUUAUUAAUUUUCAGGACAGUCUAGUCAAUUUUGAAUAAAUUAUCAAUUUCAUUCAAUCCAUUUGACCAAUUUUUCCAUUUUUAGGGUGAUCCAUUUAAUUUUGAAUAAAUCAUCAAUUUCAUUCAAUCCAUUUGACCAAUUUAUCCAUUUUUAGGGCGAUCCAGCAAAGUUCAUCAAUUUCAUCCGAUUCAUUUGACUUGUUUAUUCUCUUUUAGGGUUUCGGUCUAAGGUUUGUGACGCCUCCAUGUAGACACCAAAUUUUUAAGUUAUUUUUUUUUUCAUUUUUACUUUAAUUAUUUUAUUAAUUUCAUUAUUUUUUGUUUUUAGGCAUUUUUUUAGCAUACUAUAUUAUUAUUAUUUGUUUUUAUUUCUAUAUUCAUUCUCGCGCCUUUAGUCGUUUAAAUUUAUUUUAAGACUUUUAGUAUUAAGAUUUGUCGGAAAAAGAAAAUUCUUCAAAAAAUAUGCCUUAUUUCUUUUAGAUUUAAUUUUUAUGAAAUGUUAAUUGUUUAUUUUCUAAAUUAAGUUAAACUAAAAAAAAAAGAAAAAAAAAGGUCCAUAAUGCGGCAGAGGCACAUACCCAUCGGAGGGCCCUAGCAUGCCCAGCAAAACCUCCACUCUCAUCCUCACCUUUCAGGUGAGGGUUUGAGAGUAUGUGUUUGGUAUAAAUAGAACAAAAAAAUGCAGCUUUUGGGGGAAGGAAGGGUAGAGUAUGAGGGCUGAAAGAUAGAGGGGGAUAGAAAAAGGGUGACGGCAGGAAAAGAAAAAGGGGAUCUAGAGGAGAGCUGGGGGGGGGGACCUGAGAGAAAUAGAGGAAGAAGGGUGUGUGUGACGGAAGAAAUGAAAACCAGCAAAGGCGGAUGAAACAAGAGAGCAGACGGCUAGGGUAUUAGGAGAGAGUUUGAGAAGGUUUUGGGAACAGGGGUGGAAGAGGAGAAAAUCGAAAGCUGGGAAAAGGAAAAAGAGUUACGAGCAAGGUGGGGGGCAUGACGGCUGAAAAUUUUGGGAGAAGGUAGAGAGAAUCUGUUGGCGGCUGGGCUAAGGAGGAAGAAGCAGAGCAAAAGGAAAAGAACGGGGAAAUUCUGACGACGGCUGAGAGGUUAGAGCAAGUCGGGCAGAGGUUGAGGAAAAACAAGAGUAGAGAAACAGUGAGAGGUGACGGCCGAAGGAGAUUUGAGGGGGGAGGAGAAUCCAGUAGCGGUUAGGGCUUAGGAAUAAGAAAAAACGCAGCUUUGAGGAGGAAAGAAACUGUGGAGAGAAAAUCGGAAAGAACCAGAGUGAAAAGGAAAAGUUCGGGCAGGAGGAAGUCUUUUGGGGAAAGAAAAAGGAGAAACGCCGUUGCUGUUGCAGCCAGCGUUCUACUGCCGCCGACUCCACCACCUCAGCUCCUCGUCACUGCCACUGCCCGACAAGCGUCAUUGCCAACGGCAGAUUUGGUAACAAAUCCUGGGGUAGCUGAGGUAGUUUUCGAGCUGUCUUUCCCAAUAUAUAAGGUCAAAUAUAUAACAGUUUUUCGCCAUAUUGAUUGCCGCAUCUUCUUGCCCUUUUGCUGUGUUGUUUGGCUUAAAGCUUCUACCAUAUUUGCAUAUGAUUAAAAUGAUGAAUUGUGUUCAUGUUUUGGGCUUCAUGAUCUUGGGUCCGUCCAAGCUUUUGAUGUUUUUGUUGUUGAUGUAUUUAGUUGAUAAUGAAACUCAGUCAUUGGUGGGAGUUCAUGGUCGUGCCUUUGUUUCUUUUUGUGUAUGAAUCUGGAAUGGGGUAGCUUAGAGCCAUGGAAUGUUUGAUGUUGGGGUUACGUGUUUUGGUCCAAAGCUAUAGAAAACAGGCUCGAACGUUUGAUAGGUAGAUAAAUUUCUAUAGCUUUUAGAAAGCUUCGGUCAGAUUGCCUGAAAUUUUUUUUGUUGAAAAUGCAUGCUGUUGGACCCUCCCUGCUAUAGUUCUCCUGGUUUGCAUGAUCAGCUUUGUGAAAUGUCAGUUGUAUAGAAUGCUUAGCUUUGUUUCAAACUUUCUUUGUUGCUUCUUGCAAGUUUCUGGUUUGCUAUAGCAGUAGACAUUACCAUGCAAAUGCUGAAACAUUAGCUGCUCCAAGCUCGGGUCCCUUUGCUGCAUUUUAUGUUCAGUUUCCUUAUUAGAAUUUCCGGGAGAUAAACCCUUGCAUUUGGGUAAUGAUUAGCAAUAUGGGUAGGAAGCUAUAGCAUUGAGGAUUGGGUGGACAAGUCACUAAGCAUUCAUUCCCAUUACUUCGCAUGAUCAUCUUUUGGUUUGCAGCAGAAAAUUGCAGCAAACUUCAUUUUUGCUUGUUGAGUGUUUUGGAUUGUUUGAAAGGUUUGAUUCGCGUGUUGCUGGAGGUGUUUGAUGUUUGAACCAUAGUUGGUUUACUUACUCCUACAUCAGAUAUCAUGAAGUUAUGUCGCAAGCUUUGCUAAAUCGCAGAUGAUCGAAUAACAAGUUGCCUAGCCAUUUUGCAUGAAAGUUGCACACGAAUUUGCAUAUUUUCCUUUCCAGUUUUUUUUUUGUUUGUUUGGAUGCUGAAUUUGUGUGUCGCGUCGCUUAGAUUAAAUUUUGGGAUGUUUGCUUGGAAAAGUUUUGAUCAAAGUUGUCUGGAACAUAAGUUUGGAAACGAAACGGUAGCAGGCUCCACUUUCGGUUGCAGAAGCUUGCUUCGUAGCUCUUUGCAUGCAUUUUGCAUGAACAAUUUCCAGAAAAUUUCCUUUUUAGCCUCCCUAGUUUCCCAUAAUCCCAUUUUGGCUCAUAAGAUUGGAAGAUUUCCUUAAUUUUAUCCCUUUAACAUGUUAGUUUUCCUUGGUAUGUUUUCAUUUGAUUCGUGGAUAGACUUUUUAUGAAUUUUAGGAUGAAAUAAGAAAGUUUAAUAGUUUUUGGAAAAACUUAUAGUUUUGAUUUCCGUUUGAUUAAGAUCUUAGCUAAUUUUAUCGUUUAAUUCUAAUAAAUUGUUUUCCAUUCUUUUUUGAGAAGUUUAGCACUUACCUUGGAUAGAUUCUACUUUGAGUCACUAGUUUAGUUUAGAACUUCUACUUCAAUUAGAUUCUUUUCCACUCUAAUUUCUUGAAUAUCGAUGUUUUUUGUUUUAUGAAAAAUGCUUUAAGUUAUCCUUUUUUGUGUUAAUUUUCAUUGUGUGUUUAAUUUUUAUUUUUUGGUAUUUAAUUUUUAUUUCAUGUUAUUUAUUUGUUAAUUAAAGUGAUGCCUUGACUUUUUUUUUAUUAUUUUGGAGGAUAAAUAAGUAAUUUCAUCCCACUAGCUCAUCAAUUCAAGGGAGGUACAUUCUAACUCCUUUAUUUUGAUUUUACGUAAUCCUAUGUGCCCCUAUGUGAUUUACGUGUUUUAUUGCAUGCCUUUUGAAUGUUCUCAUUUUAUUUAUUUAUUUAUUCGUUUUAUUCGUUUUAAUUUCGUAUAUUUAUUUUAGUUCAUUUUGAUUAUUUGAAAGGCAUUUAAAUGCCAAAGUUGUAAUAGCUAGGUUAUUAUUUUAUUUAUUUAUUCCUUCCCCAUCCUAGAUUGUAGUAGGAGCCCCCCAAAUGUAAUAGUUAGGGGUUUAUUUGCUUUAUUUGCCUUGUGUGUUUUUGCAUGCCUAUGUGUUACGUGUUACCGCUUUCUUAGGGACUUGCAUCUAGAUACCAUGCUUAUGUGUUAUGUGCUAUACGUGAUUUAUGUGUUUAUUUGUUUUAUUAUGUUUUACAUGAUUUAUUUGAUUAUAACAAAUACAUGUCGUCACCACACUAGUCCAAUGCUAGUUGUGGCCGCCUUUCCCGAAUCCGCACUAGUCCAAUGCUAGUUGUGGCUCUUUGUUCGAUUUCUCAUUAGUCUAACGCUAGUGAGAAAGUAGAAAUAUGGGCUAGUCCAAUGCUAGACCCUUAGGGACCUCCCUCGUUAGAUCAUGCUUGUAUGAUUACAUUACAUUUCAUGCAUAUUUUUUCAUUUUUAGGAUUUUUGUCAUUUUCACAUAAUAUUUCCUCUAAUUAAAUAUCCCUUACCCCUAUGUAUAUAUAACAUUUAGAUUUGCAUCUCAUUUAGGAAAUUAGGGGGUAGAUUAGUGCAUUUUGCCUGAUUAGACUGGAAAUAACCCCUUGGAUAUGGGAUAUGGACGAGUUUGGUUUUUCUAGUCUUAGCACCCUCGUAUUCCCUCUAUUAAAAGGGGAAAAUUGAGUCACGCACAUUAGUCCCCCGUACCCGACAUGAUGCACUCCUUUGAGACAUGUAUAUUUGUAUAAUUAUUUUAUUCCUUUUCUUUUCUUAGAGUCUCAUAUUUUUGCAUUAUUCGUGACUUCUUCGAAGAGUCUUCAUUGGGCGUCACAAUUAAUGUGAUUGGUACCAAAUAAGCUUUAAAGAUACAUUUCGAUCCCCCGACACCCUCCUAGGUCUAGGGUUUCCAUUCAUAUAGUACAUCCAAAUGCGAUAAAUUUUUAGGUUAAGAAUAAGAAAAUCUUUGACUAAAUCACGCAAUUAGCCUUGGCUAGGUUGAAGGGGUGCCUUGGAUUUUUAUCAUUGCCUUCCCCUUCGUCAAAUGUGACUCCCGAACCUUUUUCGUUGGUUUACGUAGACUAGGAGUCGUUUAAAAGGGGUUUUUUUACUUUUUUCUUUUGAAAACUCAUUUUUGGUGACUUGGUACACCUUAACUCAAUACCAAGUGGCGACUCCGAUUUUUAUUUCAAAACCCUUUUUAAACUUAUUUUGGGUCAAAAUCGUCGCAUUUCAAAGCCCCAUUUAGACCCAUGUUUUUCAUUUUCUUUUGUAAACCAAAAAUUCAUUUUCCAAUCAAAAAUUGAAUCAAAAGCCAUUUCUAUAAACUCGUCAUUUAUUUAUUUUAUAAAAAAUGGGGCGCGACAGUUGGCGACUCCACUGGGGAUUUAGAAGGUCCGAGCAUUUGAUUUAGUCAAUAUUUUUCUUCUUUUAACCUUUUUAUAUAUCGCAUUUUGAUGUUUAUGGUUGCAUUUUUCCUUUUUUAGGUUUUUGCAUUUCGCGCGUAUCAAUUCGCUCCCUCGCACAUUUGCGUACGAUUGUUUUGAUGAAUGGAUGUUUCAUUUAUUUGUUUACUUUUACUUGUUUCGCGAUUGCAUUUUGGGAUGGGGGAUAGUUACCCUAGAACCUUCGACUGCAUCUGAUGGUAUAAUCCCUCCCCUCAAUAAGAAAGCACCUCAUACGUGCAUGCAUAGUCUUAUUUACCCUAUUUUUUUUCUUUUCGUGGGCGUUUCCCACACCUCUUUGUAGGAUUAGGAUCGAUUGCCUUGGGUAGGCGGAUGGUGUGCUCUGCGCCCAUAGCGCUACCUAAGGGAUCACUCGAGCCACCGAUCAAAGGCCCUGGGAGUGAUAACCCUUCGCCUUUAGGUCUGAAGGCUUGGGAGCCGAAACCUUAUCGAGUCUAGAUGCAUUAAUGAACCAAGCCUCAUGCAUCCAUAAUAGAAUUGCCUAGGGUAGAAUCGACCUUAUACUGAAUUAGGGACACUAGGCACGAGGGGAGGGAUUCCAACCCUCUUUCCUUAUUUUUGCUUUCUAUAUUUAUUACUUGAUUGCCACAACGUGUUAUGUGUUGAACUAACUUUCUUUGUUUCUUGUCUUUUGCAUUCACAAACGUUGGGAAAUGAGAGGUCUGGCAUGUUCUCCUUUUAGAACCUACCCUUGUAAAUAGGUUAUUGCACGUUUAAAGAUUUUGGUAUAUUGCAUAUAUAGAUUAAUAAUGCCAUAUCAUUUUAGGCCUACCCUGGCAAAUAAAGGGUCCCUUAGGUCAUGUUUCAUUUCCAAUUGCAUAUUUCACUGCUUUAAUAAACUGGCAUCACGCAUAAACCAUAGAAAGGGAAUGCCAUUUAGGGGAUCCCAUGUUAUAGGAAUAAACCACCUCGUGUUUCGGAUACUUAAUCCAAUGAGACUUGCACGGUUAUAUUUCUUGUACUGUCCGAAGGGGUAGUGCACGAAAUAAGUUAGGAUCCGAUCCUUUCCAUGACCCUGGGGCGAUCUUUGGUCCAUUAGAAUAUGAGCAUCUAACAGUCAUUCUUUGGCCAUUUUUAACAUAGUUGGUAAAAAUCCCUUGCUUAAAGGACAUUAACUUGAAGAAAUUCACCAAUAUUUCCUCACUAUUGAGAUGAUAAAUAAAUCAAGGCCAAAAUUUGAUUUUAGAAGGCUUAUAGACUAAUACAUCGCAAUAAAUUUUUGAAACUACCAAUGGAUAGAUUGAUUUUUAAGUAAGCUGUCAAUUCCAUUCAAUCCAUUGGACUAUUUUAUUCAUCAAUUUCAUCCAGUCCAUUUUAUCGAUUUGUUCAUUUUUAGGGCAACCUAGUCGAUUUUGAAUUCAUUUGACUAGUUUACCCAUUUUAGGGCAAUUUAGUUGAUUUUGAAUAGAUCACCAAUUUCAUUCAAUUCAUUUGAUUAGUUUUUAUGGCAAUCUUAUCGAUUUUGAAUAAAUCAUCAAUUUCGUCCGAUCCAUUUGACCAGUUUACCUAUUUUUAGGACAAUUCGGUCGAUUUUGAAUAAAUCAUCAUUUCACUCGAUCUGUUUGAUCAAUUGAUUCCAUUUAAUUCAUUUGAUUAGUUUAAUUUAUUUUCAGGGUUAUCCAUUCAAUUUUUAGUAAAUAAUCAAAUUUCAUUCAAUGCAUUUGACCAUUUUACCCCUUUUGGCACAUCAUGCGUCGAUCAAAGCAAGCAAUCCAUUCGGACUUUGUCCUCAUUUUUAGGACAAAUGUCUUUUCUCUCUCCAAUUGGCCAAAUUUUUCAAUUCAUUUUUGAAUUGACCAACAAUCACUCUCACACUUUCACAAGUUCCUUAUCAAACAAGGAAGAAUGCACACUUGCUUUAAAAUUCAAUUCAACGUCUUUAUAAGAGUUUCACUUUAUCGAAAAUCAAGAUUCACAAGUGAGGAAUUUAAAGUUACUAAGGAAACUCAUAUCCUCCACGAAAUCGGAUUCAAAACAAUAUAUCAAUAUCCAGAUAAGAAGUCAAGUUUCCAAAAUUGCAUUUUCUAAGAAAUCGGCAAAUUUCAGCUUUGCAUGCCAAAAUUAGAAAAAUCAGAUCUUGCACUCAGUAAGUCCAAAAUUGGAAACUUUACACCGUUGGAAACUAGUUUCAAAGUACUAAAAGUUCUUUGAAGACAUUUUUCCAAGAUUCAAAGUGGAAGACAAUCAUUUUUCAGCUCAAAGUGGCGGUUCUGAACAAGCAGUGCAGUUCCAGUCAUGUUUUUCGGCAAUCUUUGGAAAUUCGGAAAAAUUCACAGAAAGUGAACUAGCCUUUGAAAUUUGUAACACACUACGAGUUUCUAACAGAUUUUCAAACAAUACAAACAGAACUAAAUUCGGAGUUUUGAGCACUAAGAUAUCAUAGCUUAAAGUCGGCUAACUUUUGUACACUAUUCAGAAAUUUUUCAGAUUUGAAGAACAAAUUUUGAGACAUCAUUUGGGUAUCGAAAUGGUCUUAGAAUAACACCAAUUUGGGUACACUAAAACUUCGAUAUGAGGACUACUUUUCUAUCAAAUUUCACGCAAAAAUUCGUACGGAAAGGUAGUUAACAAAACAACCAAAGUUUGGAAGAUAUUUCAAAGUAAUUCUGCCUUCUUGCUUUUAUUUCUUUUCCAAACAUUUUACGCAAUGAAAUCAAUCCCAAUUUGGUUUAUUUUUUAAACCAAGGUCCUAUAACCACUUAAUAGGCAAUAUAUGAUUGAUUGACAUCAGAAUUUUUGAAAUAAAACGUCCCAAAUCAAACUUAACCAUUCGGCUAGCAAAAAGAGAAAGAUUUUUAUAUUUCUAACUUUGUCACAGUUUGGAAAUUGUACCAUAUCUCACUCAAUACAAAAUGCUAUAUUUCAUCAGAACAAGUCAUUCUCAAAAUCAGUUCACAAGUGGUUCGAAUUCAAGCCUCAAGUUACAGCUUCUCAUUUCCAUUCGGGUGAAUAGGUUGAACAGAACAGCCGAUUUUAUCAGCUCACUGAUGCUCACACAAAAUGAACUAGCUAGUGAUUUUUGUACCGUUUUAAAGCUACGAAUGUCUAGUUUCAACUGCUGCAAACGGCACUCGAUUUAGAGGUCUGUACAAUGAGAUAUGUUCGAUCAAAGGGACACUAUUUGGAUGCCCUGAACACGUUUUCCAGAUUUCUUCAUAUUUCAAAAAUUCAGGUUUUUCUCAAUCAAUUCAAAUGAUUUUUGGUAGAAACUUUCUAAACACAAUAUACCACAUAUAUACAUCAGUUUCACAGUCAUUUGAGUAACAAAAUUUUGAAAUACAUUGCACGAAAUUGACUGGACAAAUUCGGCUAGUUUCAUGCAUCAACUUUUGUGAGGACUCGCAAAAAUUUACUUAUUUUAAAUUCCUAUUACUAGCUUAUUGCCUGUUUACUCUGAAUAUUUUAUUUCAACCUUUUUAGACCUAAUUACAUGGAAUUAUGACUUACAUAGAUUUUUAAAAUGAUUUGUUUCUAAAUUUAAUUUUUGAAAGGUCGUUAAGUGAGAAUAGUGAAUACGCGAUUGGAAUUAAUAAUCGAUUUGAGGAUACAAUAAACUUGAAAAAUUGGAGACUUGUACAUUAGUUUUAAAAUAGGUAUUUUUAUGUUUAAAUGCUCAAGUGUUAGUUAAUUAUACCAUCAUUAUAAGAAAUUCUUAGAGAUUCCAUUUUAUCGCGCACAAAUCGGUACUACGCGUUUUUACACGCUCGAUUAAUUGAGGGAUUUUAGACCCUUAAGAGUGAAUAAUAAUAAUAUGAAUGAAAGUGCAUUAGAGAUUUAGAGAUGAAAAUUGGUCAAGUAAGAAAGGACCAGUAAAGAUUUUGAUCGAAAAGUGAAGAGGUUAAAAACACAAACAAGUCCCUCUAAUGAAGGUUUUAUAGAGAGAUUAUGGACUAGAGGAAGCAACCUGAGAAGUGGAAGAAACCAUUCGAGAAAAGUAUCCAGACCUGUUCACCAAUCAAGGUAUAAUUUCGAGGACGAAAUUUUCUUAAGGGGGAGAGGGUCUGAGGACUCGCAAAAAUUUACUUAUUUUUAAUUCCUAUUACUAGUUUAUUUAAAUAUUUAAUUACCCGUUUACUCUGAAUAUUUUAUUUCAACCUUUUUAGACCUAAUUACAUGAAAUUAUGACUUGCAUAGAUUUUUAAAAUGAUUUGCUUCCAAAUUUAAUUUUUGAAAUCUCGUUAAGUGAGAAUAGUGAAUACGCGAUUGGAAUUAAUAUUCGAUUUGAGGAUACAAUAAACUUGGAAAAUUGGAGACUUGUACAUUAGUCUUAAAAUAGGUAUUUUUAUGUUUAAGUGCUCAAGUAUUAGUUAAUUAUACCAUCGUUAUAAGAAAUUCUUAGAAAUUCCACUUUAUCGCGCACAAAUCGGUACUACGCUUUUUCACACGUGCGAUUAAUUGAGGGAUUUUAGACCCUUAAGAGUGAAUAAUAAUAAUGUGAAUGAAAGUGCAUUAGAGGUUUAGAGCACAAGUGAAACAAACUCGAGAGGAAUCGAGCACGAAACGAGCGCGUACGCGCACUAUCCUUGGUUGACUUUUGGAGUAAUUUUGGCCACACAUUGUUAAGCAUCUCAUGGAAGCAACACACCAGAUCAAAACUCUUCCUUUCUUCCUCUUAGCAACUGUGCACUCUAUGGAAGAAAAAGACCAACAAUUCUCUUCAUUUCACCUCACAAUUCUUGCUCAAAUCACCUCAAAUUUUACGUACAACUUGCUAAACACUUGGUGAACAACAUUAGCAAGGAAGAGAGCUUGCUUUCCAUGGUUUUGUUGAGCUUCAAGAGGCCGAAAAUUUCUGACUUGCUCAUCCAAAGAGGUAAUGAACGAUCAACCUCAAAAAUCUUAGUUUAUAGAAGUUAUAUUACACUCAUGAGCUCUUGGAUUCUCAUGGGUAGCUUUAAAUUGUUAGAAAUUUUAUGAGUGGGCUCUAUGAACUCCCACUUUGGUUUGAUGGACUGAUUUUGUGAGUUUUGAUGUUAAUAAUGUUGGAUUAGUGCUUAAAUUAGUAGAAAUGAGUGAUAUUGUGGAUAAAAACUCAAAGGAAAUGAUGAGGGAAUAUUUUUUCAUUUCUGCCCCUGUACAUGCCGUGGCCUUAGAGCAAUUUUUUGUCGUUCUAACAACUUGUUUAUGAUGUAUACAUAUUGUAUGGGUUGUGUAGAAAGUUUCAUAAAAAAAUUUCAUGAUUUGGUUGGCCAAAUGAUGUGUUUUCGGAAAUCAGCAAAAACUGGAAAUUUUCCCGUAACUGCUCUGGCAGUGUUUUUGUUUUGGCUAUAACUUUUUGCUCCGAUGUCAAAAUUGAGUGUUGUUUAUGGCACUGGAAACUAGACAUUCCCAUAUUUCCAACAGUAUAAAAUGGAUGUCCGGGUUCUACUUGAGUAGUCCAUACCAAUCGUUUGAACAUGACUGUCCUGUUUCGCGUCUACACUGGGAGCUCUGUUUUGAGCAACGAAUUGGGGCUCAAAUAUGAGCUAGCUGUGGACAGAUUUUGAAAAUCAUUUCUUCUAAAAAAUUAUAGCUUUAUGAAUCUAUUUUUAACUCCAUCAACUGCACUCAAUUCCAAGUUGAAUUGAGUGAGUUGUGGCCAAAGUUCGAAACUGACUCAAUGAUUUGAAACCCUCUUUUUGGCUAGUAAAUGUCUAAAUCUUGAUUGGGACUUGUUGUUUCGAAAUUGUUGGUGUUAGUCAUCGACCAAAUGUAUCUUGGAUGUUUCUUAGACAUUACCUACAUAAAAAGAACCAUGUUUGAGACAUUUUUGUUGGCCAAAUGUUUUGAAAACGGAAAACUCAUGUCCAAGGCAGAUUUGCCUUGGAAAUUUGGAAAUUUUGGUGAUCUGGUUAACCAACUUGCCGUACGUAUUUUUCCAUGAAAAUUGACAGAGGAAUAGCUCUCAUAUGGUAGUAUAAUACGGUCAAAUUUGGUGCCAUUCCAAGUCCUCCUCGAUGCCCAACAGAUGUCCCAACUUCUGCAUUUCAAAUCUAGAAAACUUUUCCUUUUCUCUUGACCGAAUGGUCAAAUCUAAUUUGGGGAGUUAUAUUUCAAAAAUUGUGAUGUUCAUUACCUUUAAAUUGCUUAGUGGAUGUUUAUGGACUCUUGGUUUCGAAAAUGGAGUGAUUUAGAACUGAUUUCAUUGCACAUGAUGUUUGCAAGCAAAAGAAAAGGGAGAAGACAGAUUAGCUUUGAAAUAUUUCUUGAACUUUGGUUGUUUUAAAAACUACCUUCCCGUGGGAAUUUUUGCAUGAAACUUGGUAGAAAUGUUUUUCACACAUGGAAGAUUUAGUGUACCAAUUUAGGUGUAUUUCUAAUGCCAAAUCGAUGGCCAAAUGAUAUUUCUAAGAUAGUCUUUGAAUCUGAAAAAUGACUAAACAGUUUGUGAAAUGUGAUCAACUUUGGAUUGAUGUCUCUCGAUCUCAAAACUCUGAUUCUUGUUCUGCCUGUUGUGUUUUAAACUUUGAUUGUAACUCUAAAUGAGUUCCAAAUUUUAGAGACUAGUUCGCAUUGAAUGAAUUUUGCCAAAUUUCCAAAUUUUGCCGAAGAUCAACCCAAAACUGUCUUAAUGGUCCAAAACAGCCACUUUGGGCCACCUUUCGAAUGCCUUCCAUUUGGAAUCAUGAAAAAGUGUAUUCUAGGAAAUUUUAGUACUUCGGAAGAAGUUUCCAACGGUACCAAGUUUUCCAAUUUUGGACUUGUAAUGAGUGAGAUACUAUUUUUCAAAAAUCUCAUAUCAAAACUGAAAUUUUCGAAAUUUAAGGAAAUGGAGUUUUUCAAAUUCUCCUUUUUCCCUCGAUAUCACUUGAACGUUUUACACUUGAUUUCAAAGAUGAAAACUCGAUUUCUCUUGUGCUUUUAAAACCCCACUUUUGAGUCUUGAUUCGCGAGUAAUUUAGGCUCGCUUUUGUGAAAUUUUCUUGGAUUGUACAAGCGUACAACCAUUCGUGAUAAUUGGGGUAUAUAAAUGAUAGUUCACUAUUAAUUGUUCAGGCUCGCACGAGAACCUUCAAGAGGAUUCCACGGUGGACGCCUGAACGUCAAGUGAUAUUUCUUAUUUGUUUAUUUUGUGAGUGUCAAAUAUGUGUUAAAUGCUUAUGUGAUUGAGAUAUUAGUUGUACAGGUGUUAUACAUAAUACGUAAACUUGCCGAGCCAAGUAUGUACUUUAUCGCAAUCGUUCUCAUUUAAAAUAAAUGACUCAUGUUUGACCUGACCUGACUUGCUUGACCUGACAUGACUUGAUUUGAAAAAUAUGCUAUGGCUGCAUAAGUCGAUUGGAGCGAUGUCUCAUCGACCUCCGAACGAUAGUAAGUACCACACCGAUUUGGUGGGAGGUACCUCUCGAAUCGUCUCAGACCUAUUAACUGAACGAUUGUAAGUACCACACCGAUCCGGGUGAGAGGUACCUCUCGAUCCGUCUCAGUACCCUAAACCUCUGAACGAUAGCAAGUACCACACCGAUUCGGGUGGGAGGUUCCUCUCGAAUCGUCUCAGAACCCUAAAGCAUUCUAAGUCGAUUGGAGCGAUGUCUCAUCGACCUCUGGACGAUAGUAAGUACCACACCGAUUUGGUGGGAGGUACCUCUCGAAUCGUCUCAGAACUAUAAACUGAACGACAGUAAGUACCACACCGAUUUGGGUGGGAGGUACCUCUCGAGUCGUCUCAGAAACAUACAUGGAAUAUGUGAAGGGCUACGAACUCAAUUACCUACCCGGGGAACGGGGUGUCGUCAUGGGAAGGUAUUAAAAUUAAAUUUGGGCAAAGCAAGAAAUCAUUAGCUCCGGAGAGCUUCUGCAUCCUACUCAAGGGUGUUUAUUAUAAAUUGUGAAUUUUCUUGAAUGUUAUAGUUUUCACUAUUGUGUAAGUGCUAUUAUUAUUGAAUUACUUGUCUUGCAUGUUUUCUUGGCCUCACGAGCAUCCGCUCACCCCGUUAGACUUGUUUUCUUUAACAGGAGAUGAAAUGGAAGGAAUUAUGGAGAGGUUGACUUGAUUGCCUUUUUAUUAGAAUUUUAAAUGUACUCAUUUAGUCAACUUUUGAAAUCUGUAUAUUUUGGGAUCGUAAGAUAUUUUGGUAACUUAUAAUGUAAGACUUGAUCGAUUAUUAAGGAAUUGACCUUCCUUUAUAUUUUUGACUUUUAGUACUGAUUGGUUAUUCUUAAAUUUGAAUUAAAUUUGUACCGAGUCCUGGCGAGAGUUGGGCAGGCGUCCCGCAGAUACCCUUGGGUUCGUUCUUGGGAGAAGUGGGGGCGUCACAGUUGGUAUCAGAGUUUAGGCUUUAGAUCUUUGUAAAGUAUCCUAGACCUAAUAGUUAGGAUGCCGGACCGUGGGAUUUGAUUGUGUAUUAAGUACAACGUGAUUUUGGUGCUUGAGAUUGUAGUACCAUUUUUGCUCACAAAAUAUUAUAAGACUUUACUUUUCAAGUUAGGUUGGAGGUGGGUCAAGAUUAAAAAAAAAAAAAAUCUAAAUAGCCAUCUAGUGAAUUUAAGGGUUAGAAACCUUGCUUUCCCCACUCUUGUCGAACAUUUCGAAAGAAAAGUUGAACCAUUUGAAUAAUUUUGGGCUCCACUUUGAACUUGAAAAUGAGACAUCUUUGUAUUCCGUUUGGUUUGACUUAUUACUCUAACUUGUACAAGAACUUUCACCUUGAAUCUAGCGAGAAGGCUGAGAAUUUAGGAAGUAGCUCAAGCUUUUGGAUGCAAUUUGGAGUUUAUAAUCAUUUGAAUGAUGUGGUUUGGUAUCAUGGAUUAUUCUAGUUUUGUCCCUAACUAGGUUUAUGAUUUUUCUUUUGAUCCUGCCUAGUAUAGUAGGGGUGGUGCUCGCCGUGAGCCCUUUUGUAUUUUGCCUGCAAGUACUAUAUUUGUGGCACUUAGUUGCCUAUGACCUGUAUUUGAUACUAUUAACUCGUUGUAUGCACAUUGACAUGUGACAUGACUUCUAACUUAUGCAAAUAACUAUGUUUUGAUUUAAAGUGUUCUUGCAAUGUGUACCUGUUUUUCGAUUCACAUGCUUAUACUUUCUACUUCUAUUAUGCAUUUAGAAGCUUGCUAAACGAAUCGGCAAGAACGUGGACGGGGGCGUGGGCGUGGGUUUCGGCAACCCCGCACACUCGAGAAAGAUGAGGGGUCCGCGACUGGACCAAACCAAAACCUUAGAAACGAAGAAGGUGACCAAGUGGCUACGGCCAUUAACCGUAUGACCGAUAUUCUCGAGCGCUUAGCUGAGCGUCAGGGACCUGAACCAGCUGAUCAACCUAGGAACCAAGAGAGGGGUGAGGAUAGAGCUCUCGAGCGAUUCUUGAAGUUUGCUCCUCCUAAGUUCCAUGGAGGGUCUGAUCCUGAAGUAGCGAAAAAUUGGUUUGAAAGGAUGGUUGAUAUUUUUGCUGCUUUAGAUUAUACCGAGGAAAGGCAAGUGAAUUUUACCAUUUUUUAAUUUGAAGGGGCAGCACGCUCGUGGUGGAAUGUUGUUAGUGCAAAGUGGGAAAGAGAACAAAUCCCUUGGACUUGGGUAAACUUUGAGAGGGAGUUUAAUGUCAAGUUUCUCCCACCAAUUAUACAAGAAAAGAGGGAGAACGACUUUAUUAAGUUAAAUCAAGGGUUAUUAAGUGUGGCCGAGUAUGAGGAGCGGUUCACCAAACUUUCCAAAUUUGCCCCUGAGCUUGUACUUACCGAACGGAAAAGGAUAAGGAGGUUUAUUCAGGGGUUAAAUGUAAAAAUUCAAGAAUUCCAAAUAGCUGCCCAGAUUACCACUUUUACGGAUGUCUUGGAUAAGACACAGAGGGUAGAGAAUGCUAAAUCUCAAUCUAAAACUUUUCAUACUAGAAAGAGGGGUAGCCCAAGUGAUAUCUCUAAACCGUCAGAAAAGUCUACCCAACCCCUUAAUAUGGAAAAAGGGGUUGGAGAAGUGAAGAUGCAUGAAAAACCUGGAGAACUCCAUCAAACAAAACCCCGCCAAAAGGAAAUAGGAAUAGACGAGGUCAACAAAAAGGGAAAUCUCAAACUGGUCAAGUCGUGACUCCUCACAUAACUUGUAGAUACUGUGGCCAGAUUAACCACACUGAGGCCGAGUGGUGGAGAAAACAAGAAAAAUGUCUGAGCUCUAGCAGUACCUAGCAUAAGUUUUCGAAUUGCCCUAAAGUUUCUAAAGGAAAAGGAAAUUCUCAACAACCUGUUAAAUCCACGGCAAAAUCAGUCGAGUGCCAGAGGGAGUGAUUAAUGCUAAAGAUUGUAAGAGAGACCCAAGUAGUAGAAACUCUAUGAGUAGGGGUAAAUCUAAUUCCACUCGACAAAUAGGGAUUGUAGUUUUACCCUAGCAUAGACUGACACUUAGAAGUUGUAAUCUUUUGUAUACGGGAUGACAUCCUUCUGAUGUAUAUUACGACUUAACACGUUUUGAUUUUGUUGAUUCCCCUUUUCUUUCGAAACGAUUUGAUGAACUUAUUAUAAUUUAGUAUAACCAUUAUGAUCUUUUUAGCAUAUGAAAAUCUACCUUACUUCUAAUUAAUUUUAUGGUUUAUAUGUAUAUGUAAUCUGUUGCUCCAUAUCUCAAGACCUGUAAUAAGAUCAUAAAUGGUACCUGAGAAUAAUUAAGUUCCAUAAGUGUGAGUUUUGAAUGAGAGAAGUAAGAGAGAUGAAAAUUGGUCAAGUAAGAAAGGACCAGUAAAGAUUUUGAUAAAAAAGUGAAGAGGUUAAAAACGCAAACAAGUCCCUCUAAUGAAGGUUUUAUAGAGAGAUUAUGGACUAGAGGAAGCAACCUGAGAAGUGGAAGAAACCAUUCGAGAAAAGUAUCCAGACCUGUUCACCAAUCAAGGUAUAAUUUCGAGAACGAAAUUUUCUUAAGGGGGAGAGGAUGUGAGGACUCGCAAAAAUUUACUUCUUUUAAAUUCCUAUUACUAGCUUAUUUAAAUAUUUAAUUGCCCGUUUACUCUGAAUAUUUUAUUUCAACAUUUUUAGACCUAAUUACAAGGAAUUAUGAAUUGCAUAGAUUUUUAAAAUGAUUUGUUUCCAAAUUUAAUUUUUGAAAGCUCGUAAAGUGAGAAUAGUGAAUAUGCGAUUGGAAUUAAUAAUCGAUUCGAGCAUACAAUAAACUUGAAAAAUUGGAGACUUGUACAUUAGUUUUAAAAUAGGUAUUUUUAUGUUUAAGUGCUCAAGUGUUAGUUAAUUAUACCAUCGUUAUAAGAAAUUCUUAGAGAUUCCAUUUUAUCGCGCACAAAUCGGUACUACGCAUUUUUACACGCGCGAUUAAUCGAGGGAUUUUAGACCCUUAAGAGUGAAUAAUAAUAAUAUGAAUGAAAGUGCAUUAGAGGUUUAGAGCACAAGUGAAACAAACUCGAGAGGAAUCGAGCACGAAACGAGCGCGUACGCGCACUAUCCUUGGUUGACUUUUGGAGCAAUUUUGGCCACACAUUGUUAAGCUUCUCAUGGAAGCAUCACACCAGAUCAAAACUCUUCCUUUCUUCCUCUUAGCAACUGUGCACUCUAUGGAAGAAAAAGACCAACAAUUCUCUUCAUUUCACCUCACAAUUCUUGCUCAAAUCACCUCAAAUUUUACGUACAACUUGCUAAACACUUGGUGAACAACAUUAGCUAGGAAGAGAGCUUGCUUUCCAUGGUUUUGUUGAGCUUCAAGAGGCCGAAAAUUUCUGACUUGCUCAUCCAAAGAGGUAAUGAAUGAUCAACCUCAAAAAUCUUAGUUUAUAGAAGUUAUUACACUCAUGAGCUCUUGGAUUCUCAUGGGUAGCUUUGAAUUGUUAGAAAUUUGGUGAGUGGACUCUAUGAACUCCCACUUUGGCUUGAUGGACUGAUUUUGUAAGUUUUGAUGUUAAUAAUGUUGGAUUAGUGCUUAAAUUAGUAGAAAUGAGUGAUAUUGUGGAUGAAAACUCAAAGGAAAUGAUGAGGGAAUAUUUUUUCAUUUCUGCCCCUGUACAUGCCGUGGCCUUAGAGAAAUUUUUUUGUGGUUCUAAUGACUUGUUUAUGAUGUAUACAUGUUGCGUGGGUUGUGCAAAAAGUUUCAUUAAAAAAAUUUCAUGAUUUGGGUGGCCAAAUGAUGUGUUUUCGGAAAUCAACAAAAACUGGAAAUUUUCCCGUAACUGCUCUGGCAGUGUUUUCGUUUUGGCUAUAACUUUUUGUUUCGAUUUCAAAAUUGUGUGCUGUUUGUGGUACUGGAAACUAGACAUUCCCAUCUUUCCAACAGUAUAAAAUGCAUGUCCUGGUUCCACCUGAGUAGUCCAUACCAAUUAUUUGAAUAUGACUGUCCUGUGUCGCGUCUACACUGGGAACUCUAUUUUGAGCAGCGAAUUGGUGUUCAAAUAUGAGCUAGCUGUGGACAGGUUUUGAAAAUGAUUUCUUCUAAAAAAUUAUAGUUUUAUGAAUCUAGUUUUAACUCCAUCAACUACGCUCAAUUCCAAGUUGAAUUGAGUGAGUUGUGGGCAAAGUUCGAAACUGACUCAAUGAUUUGAAACCCUCUUUUUGGCUAGUAAAUGUCUAAAUCUUGAUUGGGACUUGUUGUUUCGAAAUUGUUGAUGUUAGUCAUCUACCAAAUGUAUCUUGGAUGUUUCUUAGACAUUACCUAUGUAAAAAGAACCAUGUUUUGGACAUUUUUGUUGGCCAAAUGUUUUGAAAACGGAAAACUCAUGUCCAAGGCAGAUUUGCCUUGGAAAUUUGGAAAUUUUGGUGAUCUGGUUAACCAACUUGCCGUACGUAUUUUUACAUAAACAUUGACAGAGGAAUAGCUCUCAUAUGGUAGUAUAAUACUGCCAAAUUUGGUGCCAUUCCAUGUCCUCCUCGAUGCCCAACAGAUGUCCCAAAUUCUGCUUUUCAAAUCUGGAAAACUUUUCCUUUUCUCUUGGCCGAAUGGUCAAAUCUGAUUUGGGGAGUUAUAUUUCAAAAAUUGUGAUGUUCAUUACCUUUAAAUUGCUUAGUGGAUGUUUAUGGACUCUUGGUUUCGAAAAUGGAGUGAUUUAGAACUGAUUUCAUUGCACAAGACGUUUGCAAGCAAAAGAAAAGUGAGAAGGCAGAUUAGCUUUGAAAUAUUUCUUGAAUUUUGGUUGUUUUAAUGACUGCCUUCCCGUGGGAAUUUUUACAUGAAACUUGGUAGAAAUGUUGUUCACACAUGGAAGAUUUAGUGUACCAAUUUUAGUGUAUUUCUAAUGCCAAAUCGAUGGCCAAAUGAUAUUUCCAAGAUAGUCUUUGAAUCUGAAAAAUGACUGAACAGUUUGCAAAAUGUGAUCAACUUUGGACUGAUGUCUCUCGAUACUCAAAUCUCUGAUUCUUGUUCUGCCUAUUGUGUUUUAAAAUUUGAUUGUAACUCUAAAUGAGUUCCAAAUUUUAGAAACUAGUUCACAUUGUAUGAAUUUUGCCAAAUUUCCAAACUUUGCCGAAAAUCAACCCAAAACUGUCUUAAUGAUCCAAAACAGCCAUUUUGGGCCAACUUUUGAAUGCCUUCCAUUUGGAAUCAUGGAAAAGUGUAUUCUAUGAACUUUUAGUACUUCGGAAAAGGUUUCCAACGAUACCAAGUUUUCCAAUUUUGGACUUGUAAUGAGUGAGAUACGAUUUUUCAAAAAUAUCGUAUCAAAGCUGAAAUUUUCGAAACUUAAGGAAAUGAAGUUUUUGGAAUUCUCCUUUUUCCCUCGAUAUCACUUGAACGUUUUACACUUGAUUUCAAAGAUGAAAACUUGAUUUUUCUUGUGCUUUUAAAACCCCACUUUUGAGUCUUGAUUUGCGAGUAAUUUAGGCUCGCUUUCGUGAGAUUUUCUUGGAUUGUACAAGCGUACAACCAUUCGUGAUAAUCGGGGUAUAUAAAUGAUAGUUCACUAUUAAUCGUUCAGGCUCGCACGAGAACCUUCAAAAGGGUUCCAGGGUGGACGCCUGAACGUCAAGUGACAUUUCUUUGUUUAUUUUAUGAGUGUCAAGUAUGUGUUAAAUGCUUAUGUGAUUGAGAUAUUAGUUGUACAAGUGUUAUACAUAAUACGUAAACUUGCCGAGCCGAGUAUGUACUUUAUCGCACUCGUUUUCAUUUGAAAUAAAUGACUCAUGUUUGACAUGACCUGACUUGCUUGACCUGACGUGACUUGCUUGACCUGACAUGACUUGAUUUGGAAAAUAUGCUAUGGCUGCAUAAGUCGAUUGGAGCGAUGUCUCAUCGACCUCUGAACGAUAGCAAGUACCACACCGAUUUGGUGGGAGGUACCUCUCGAAUCGUCUCAGACCUAUUAACUGAACGAUUGUAAGUACUACACCGAUCUGGGUGAGAGGUACCUCUCGAGUCGUCUCAGUACCCUAGACCUCUGAACGAUAGCAAGUACCACACCGAUCCGGGUGAGAGGUACCUCUCGAAUCGUCUCAGAACCUUAAAGCAUUCUAAGUCGAUUGGAGCGAUGUCUCAUCGACCUCUGGACGAUAGUAAGUACCACACCGAUUUGGUGGGAGGUACCUCUCGAAUCGUCUCAGAACUAUAAACUGAACGAUAGUAAGUACCACACCGAUUUGGGUGGGAGGUACCUCUCGAGUCGUCUCAGAAACAUACAUGGAAUACGUGAAAGGCUACGAACUCAAUUACCUACCCGGGGAACGGGGUGUCGUAAUGGGAAGGUAUUAAAAUUGAAUUUGGGCAAAGUAAGAAAUCAUUAGCUCCGGAGAGCUUCUGCAUCCUACUCAAGGGUGUUUAUUAUAAAUUGUGGAAUUUUUUGAAUGUUAUAGUUUUCACUAUUGUCUAAGUGCUAUUAUUAUUGAAUUACUUAUCUUGCAUGUUUUCUUGGCCUCACGAGCAUCCGCUCACCCCGUUAGACUUGUUUUCUUUAACAAGAGAUGAAAUGGAAGGAAUAAUGGAGAAGUCGACUUGAUGUACUUUUUAUUAGAAUUUUGAAUGUAUUUAUUUAGUCAACUUUUGAAAGCUGUAUAUUUUGGGAUUGUAAGAUAUUUUGGUAACUUAUAAUGUAAGACUUGAUCGAUUAUUAAGGAAUUGACCUUCUUUUAUAUUUUCGACUUUUAGUACUGAUUGAUUAUUCUUAAGUUUGAAUUGAAUUUAUACCGAAUCCUGGCGAGAGUUGGGCAGGCGUCCAGCAGAUACCCUUGGAUUCGCCCUUGGGAGAAGUGGGGGCGUCACAACUUUCCUUCGAUUUUCUCUUCCUUUUCUAUCCAUAAUCAAUCCAUUUACAAACAUAACAAUCAUAAUCAAGCAUUUACACCUCAAGGCAGCUAUCUAGAGGUCACCGCAAGUCAGCUAGCCUAGGAUUAAAGCAAUAAAAAUGGAUUCCUCAAGUCUUCUACCUAGUUUCAUGCAUAGGGUUUCAAACCCUUGCAAAUCCAACCGUAAAUCUUGAAUUAGAUGGAAAGAUUGAAAUGUAUCUCUUACCCCUUGAAGAACCAGAAAUUUUUUAAUCACAAAAGCUCCAAGAAAACUGCCAAUAUGAAGUCUUCCAUCAAACUUAAACUAAUCUCUAAGUGAUAUGGAAGUUGAGUGAAGAUUUAGAGGUGAAAUGGUGCAAUAUUGGAUGGAGUUUUCUUUCCUUCUUCUUCCUUGGGGCUGCUGGCCAAAAAAUGGAGAGAGAUGAGAGAGGUUUGUGUGCUAAAACUUGGGGAGAAAGAAUGGAAUAGUAGCCAUAAGUGUUGGGCAAAAAAUCAACUCUUAAUAGUUGUCGUGCGCGGGUUUCGUACUACCGUUUUCUCUCUUGUUUGUUAUACUUGUGCAUUAAACCUCCAGUGUAUUUCCUUUAACACUAUAAUUUUUCACUCUUUGUAGUCUAGUAUAAAUUUCUUAAAUCUCCACUUAACCGCUCCGACGUGAAACACGCGUACUUACACGAAAUGCGUGAACUUACGACGCGCGCGCAAAAAAAUCGAAACUUAAGAAAAAUUCAUGCACUACUAGGGUUAUUAAAUAUAACUAGGGCAAUUAAUUAUAUAAAAAAAACUAAAUUAAGAAUUAAAAACACAAGUCCUUACAAGGUUCACUAAAUAAACUAGUCGAGACAUUGCAAUCCUUUCAAGAGUAGACUCUUUCGCAUAUCACUUUAUGUGUCAAUCAAAGUAAUCAAUCCAUUCGAACUUUGUCCUUAUUUUGCUAGGAUAAAUGUCUCUUCUCACUCCAAUUGGCCAAAUUUUUUUUUAAAUUGCUUUUCAUUCGAAUAUCAAUAAGUUGAUCGGGUUCGUCAGGUAUUGUAUAGUGCCUACCCUAGAGGAUUGUAUUAUCAUUCUAGGCCAACCCUUGGUACAAAAGGGUUCCCCAAUAGGACAUGCAUCCGAAUUACUUUAAUUUUUACUAACUCGUGUCUUUUUCUUUUUCUUUUUUUCUUUUUGUCUUUUUGUCAACAGUUAAUCAAGAAGGGAAUCUAAAUAGGAUUUUUCCUAAAUUUUCAGAUAAUUGCAAAUAUAGCUACACGAAGAAACCCCAUCAUUACACGAUCAUAUAAUCAAGUUUUGAGAAAUAAUGUAAACAUGAGUACACAUCCUGAAUCGUCCGAUAGGUCUGCAACAACGCCAACAGGCGACCUUGCAAAUCUGGGAGCUCAAUUGAACGAAGUGUUAAACAAAGUCGAUGAGUUAAGUAUGGAGGUGACCGCACAACGGCGCGUAAUUGAUCAGUUGGUUGCUAGUAGCAGCAAUGGUGUUCAGCAUGAUUCCUUACCUGCUAGUCAACCUCCUUCCUCAAACCCUUACCCAUAUUACUCAAAUCCACGCCCUGUUUACCAUACAACUAUCAAUCACCCUCGACCUCUGCCAAACUAUACAAACCCACCUAUACUACCCGUCCCAAUUUUUUAACUCAAUCUUCAAACUCGAUCUCGCCCUUAUUAUAAUCCAAGACCUGCUCAACCAAACAACCGAACUUAUCCUCUAAAUAAUAAAAUUCGAAACCCAAUCCCAUAUCGAAUCUUCACCAACCUGGACCAACCCAUUGAUCAAUUGUACGAACAACUCAAAACUGCCGGAAAAAUUGGUGUUAUGCCUCCCAAGAUCUAUCCUAAGGGUUUUCCCUCUGGCUAUGACCCUCAAGCCAUCUGCGCUUAUCAUUUCGGAGCUUUCGGGCAUCCCACCAAUAAUUGCUGGGUAUUGAAACAUAAAAUCCAAGAUAUGAUUGAAGCAGGAGAUAUAGUGCUAAGAAAAAGAGGAGAACAAGGACCGAGAAUAAGUAUGAAUCCCUUUCCCGAACACAAGGACACAUUUGAGCCAUUUACCCCCAAUAAGGAAACUUGAAAAUCUCAAACUAGUGAGAUCCCUCCCUCUUGAAGGGAGUUUCGAUAAAUUUGGGGAGUUGUCUUUGGUUAAAAUCGAUGAAAAUCAUUCAUGCGUGUGUCUUUUGUUUAACUAUGUAUUUGUAAAUAGUUUUGAAUCAAGUGGCUUUUAAAGACACGUCUUAUUUAAAAAGUAACAUGUUAUUAAGUUUGGUCUUUAUCUUGAAAUUCAAUAAACUGUACAGUUUUUUUAUAUAUACUGUGUUACUUACGCAUUCUUUUCAGAUGGCCAAGAAUAAAAUCCUCUGACCCUUUGGAUAUCACUGUUCCAAAAUUUGAUGACAGCAAUCUCGAUAUCUCACGAAUAUGGAAUUGGAAAUUCAAGACAAGAACGAUAACGAGAAAGAAUCUGAGUCUUUGUUAAAGAAUCUUGAACAGUAUGAAAAGAAAUCCAAACCGAGUUUAGAAGAAACAGAAAUCAUUAAUAUUGGCAUUGGGGUCAACGUCAAGGAAAUAAAAAUUAGUAUUCAUUUGAAUGAGAAGUAGAAAGAGUGUUACAAUAAGAAGAGCAAGCCACGACUAUUCGAAGAAGGAGACAAAGUGUUGAAACAAAUUUUGCCAGUGCAACAGGAGGUUAAGGGCAAGUUUGCACCAUAUUGGCAGGGUCCUUUUAUCGUCCAGAAGGUAUUGCUUGAUGGAGCACUUGUUCUCGCAGAACUGGAUGGACAAGUUUUUCCUCAACUGAUCAAUUUGGAUAUGUGUAAGAAAUUUUUCAUUUCAUAAAUAGAAGUUUCCUUUUAGGAUUAAUGCCAAGAAUGGAAUUAAAGUCAGGCCUUUUUCCUUUCCAAUUAAAUAUUCUAUCCCUAGUUAUCCCUUUUAAAGUUUCAGAAUAAAUUAUUUCAUUUGGCAACCCCUGAGAGUCUCAAACCCCAUACUGGGGCAAGUUUGAGUUGAAAGAAAAGGAAAUGAACAAAAGAAAACCUCAAUUAAAAAUAAACUGGGACAAAUUUUGAAAAAAUUUCAAAAGAUGAAUGGAAUGAAAAAAAAAAGAAAAUGAAAAAGAACCUCGGUUGAAAAUAACUGGGGCAAUUUUAGUUUAAUCCUAAGUAGGGUUAAUAUGAAGAUGUGAUCUCAGGUGAUUUAAACACUUAUAAAAUCUGCCUUCAAGCCUUAACCUUUUCUUAGCACUUCACCUGACUACAUUACAAAAAACUGAAAGUCUUGACAUCUGUUCUUUGCAUCACCUCUUUUAAGGAAAUUUUCUAAGUCACAUGGCAAAUGAUGUCAAUACGCUUUCACCAAUUUUGCAAGGGAAGGUUUGUCGUAUUGAUGUCAUCAUUUCUUAAAACAUAUUUCUGAAUUGAUAAAGGCUAUUGGCAGGAUUUAUUCAUCAGGUGAAAACCCGAAAGGGCACCUUUGAAAAGAAAGAAAAAAGAAAAAAAAAAGAAAAAGAAAAGAAUAAAAGAAAAUGAAAAAUGAAAAUAAAAGAAAAAGGAAAUAAAAAAUGUGUGGGUAAUCUUAGUGAAGACCCGAAAGGGCACUAAGAUAGGGUUUCCCAAGUAAAGUGAGAUUGGAUUUGGAAGGCUGGUGAUUCGGUUCAUUUCGAUUCCUCUUCACAUUAUGAUUUUUCUACCGGCAUUGAAUUCCAGAUGGACGAUAUCCAAAGGGUCAAAUGUGGCAUUUUGUUCGAGAAUCAAAGUGUUUUGGUUCAUCAAACAUAAACUUUUGAGUGUACAGGUUCUUUUCUCUAAAAUCAAUUUUCUAUCAAUAAAGGUAAAUCGUUGCUUUCAUGUUACUUGAAUUUUCAUCAUUUUUGUAAAUAAAAUAAUUUUCUUGUGUUUCAUGGUCUCAUUUAUCUCUUUGGGUUUAUCAAAUGGCAAUCCCUCUGAUUUAUUGAAAGUCCCUAGAUAUCAAAUGUCAUACUUCAUUAGCGUUGGAAGUCAACGAAACAUGAUACAGUUCACAGAGCAAAGUUGAGUUUUGCAGCAUCGAGGGAAAAACAUCAAAAUACUCAUGUUUACACGUUUCUUGAAAGCUAGACGGGUCGAAUGGUGGCGGCAUUAUUUUGUCUUUCUCUUGCAGGUCCAUACGUGUUUCAAAUAACAAAAUUGGGGCAAAUUUUUUAUAUAAUUGUGAAAUGUCGCCCAAGAAUUGAAUAUUCAUGAUUCAGACCGAGGAAGAGAUGUGAAUCAAAAUCUUAAGGAGGAGCAACAAUGUCAUAAUACAAAGCGAAUGAUUGGUGGCACAAUAAUUGGUUGAAAUUGGGGCAAAUUUUUUUUGAAAAGAUUCCCUAGGUGAGUAUUCAAAAAUUUUUCCAUGCACUAACGCUUCUUUCUUAACAAAGAAAAUUUAAUUUCUUAUUGGUGAAGUUUCAGCGUCCGCCACACACCCUUCUACCUCCCUUCUUGACAAAUCAAAUUUAAUUUCUUGUUGGUGAAGUUUUAGCGUCCGCCGCGCGCCUUUCUACCCCCUUCUUCACAAAUCAAAUUUAAUUUCAUGUUGGUGAAGUCUCAGCGUCCGUCGCGCAUCCUUCUACCCCCCUUCUUGACAAAUCAAAUUCAAUUUCUUGUUGGUGACAAAUCAAAUUUAAUUUCUUGUUGGUGAAGUCUCACCGUCCGCCGUGCACCCUUCCACCCCCCUUCUUGACAAAUCAGAUUAAGUUUCUUAUUGGUGAGUUUCAGUGUCCUCCGCACACCCUUCUACCCCCUUCUUGACAAUGCAAUUUCUACCUAUGUUCAAUUUUAUGGCAGGAUCGGGUUUUAUCCCACCGACCGAUAGUAUGACAGGAUCGGGUAUUAUCCCACUGACCAAUUUGAUGGCAAGAUCGGUUAUUAUCCCACUGACCGAUGUUAUAGUAGGCUCGGAUUUUAUCCCACUAACCUUUUUGUGUUUCAGUUUACGGCAGAAUAAUUACAGGUAAGUAUUUGGUGUCUACGUCUUUAUCUCGAAUCUCUUCAAAACUCAGACAAAGAGGAGCAAGCUGUAGACACCAAAAUUUCAAUUCGAUUUAGUUAAAUUUUAGCUUUAUUUUUUAUUUGUUUGUUUUUUUUAUUUUUACUUUAUUUUAGUUGAUUAAGUUGGUAGUAGCAAAUUAGGUUCAUCAUUAUUUUUUUAAAAAAAAAAUUUAUUAUUAUUAUUAUUAUUAUCAAAUUUCUAAAAAAAAAAGAAGAAGAAGAAAAUUCCCAAUAAAAAUCCAUUUUUAUCUUUUUCAAACUCAAUUUUUUUCUAAAUAAAAUGACAUUUUGUAAGGUAAUUAGAAAUUAGCAUUUUAUUUAUUAUAAAUUUUGAAAAUAAAAAUACAAAAUACAAAAUAAUAUGUAGCACACAUGCAAUAGGACCAAGCGGAGACCAUGCAAACUAGCUAGGUGGGGGGCAAGACAAUGGACAAGUGUUUCUUUAUUUCUUUGACACUAUAACAUCUAGAUGAUAGGUGGCUAGGAUACUUGGAAGCCUAGGAAAAAUUGAAAAAAAAACAAAACAAAAGGAAAAGGAAAACCACGGGCAAAAGGCAAGGGAAAUCAGCGAGGGUCUAGAAGAAAAAAAGAAGAAAGGGUUUCGGAGGGGUUGGUAGAGAGAAACCGAGAGAGGAGGAAGAGAGUUUGAGGGGAGAGGAGGAAAAAAGGAGAAAACAAGCAAGAGGGUUGGAAGGGAAGGUUGCGAGGAAGAGCAAGAGAGAGUCUGGGGCUGAGGGAGAGAAAGAAAGCAAAAGAAAAGAGAGAGGCUUCGCGGAGAAGAAAACAGCUACAGGCAGGUUGAAUCGAAGCUCAAAAUGACGAACGCGUCACUACUGGAAAUUGGUGCAACAAAGAAAAGAGGGUUUUCUGACUUCCUUCCAUAGAUCUGCACAGCUUCCAUCGAUUUCCCAGGGUUUUGUCUCUGUAAGUAUAUCAUUUAAGCCAUAUUCUGAACCUUUUGAGGCUUACCAGAUGUGAAUCUUUGCUAUGGAUAAGCUCUUGUUGGUACCACUGCUUUUACCUCUUGUUUGGUGGAUGAUUUCUGAUUUUGGUAGGGGUCUUUGGGAUGAAUUUUGUAAGGAAACGGGUUUGGGGUUUUCUAUAGAUUUUUUAUCUGAUGAAUCCGUGGGGUUUUGCUUGAGUCAUGGCUGGUUUUGUGAUUGAAAAUGAUAAACCCAGAAAAUUGCAGAAAUUUCUUGUUGAAGAUUUGCAUGCUUGGAUGAUCGAAUUUCUGUCUUUGUUGCUUAAGAUCCAAGUUUGAUGCUUGAUUGAGGCUCUAGUUGUGUUUAGCAAAGAGAACUUGCAUCAUAAAUCCGCGGAGUUGCAGAAAACGAAGAAACCAGAGAAGAAGAUGAAAACUUGCGAGCCAUUUGCAUGAAAGUUCCAAAACAUUACAUUUUGGCCCCAAAAUUUUGGCUGAAUACUACUAUAGCCCAGAAAAUUGGAAAAAUUAAUCAAUCUUGUCCCUUCAAAACAUUAUUUUUCCUUGGCUUGUUUUUAUGUGAUUUUUAGAUAGAUUAUUGGUGAAUUUAUCGGAUGAAUUUUGAAGUUUAACAAUUUUUGAUAGAUUUAUAGCUUUUGAUUUGGAUUUUUGUAAAAAUGGUUUAGACUUGGAUAAUAUUUUUUGUUUGGGGUUUGGUGAGAG